rnacentral:rRNA from 1 species
GAUGAACGCUGGCGGCGUGCCUAAUACAUGCAAGUCGAACGCUGGAAAUCUAGCUUGCUAGAUUGAAGGAGUGGCGAACGGGUGAGUAAUACAUAAGCAACCUACCCACGAAGACUGGGAUAAUCUCUGGAAACGGGGACUAAUACCGGAUAGGUAAUCGGAAGGCAUCUUCUGAUUAUUAAAGGUUAAAAACACUGGUGGAUGGGCUUAUGUCGCAUUAGUUAGUUGGUGAGUUAACGGCCCACCAAGACGAUGACGCGUAGCCGGCCUGAGAGGGUGAACGGCCACAUUGGGACUGAGAAACGGCCCAGACUCCUACGGGAGGCAGCAGUAGGGAAUUUUCGGCAAUGGGGGAAACCCUGAACGAGCAACGCCGCGUGAGUGAUGACGGCCUUCGGGUUGUAAAGCUCUGUUGUAAGGGAAGAACGGUAGAUAGAGAAUAUCUAAAUGACGGUACCUUACCAGAAAGCCACGGCUAACUACGU